AUUGAACGCUGGCGGCAUGCCUUACACAUGCAAGUCGAACGGCAGCACUGGAGCAAUCCUGGUGGCGAGUGGCGAACGGGUGAGUAAUAUAUCGGAACGUGCCCAGUCGUGGGGGAUGACGUAGCGAAAGCUACGCUAAUACCGCAUACGAUCUAUGGAUGAAAGCGGGGGAUCGCAAGACCUCGCGCGAGUGGAGCGGCCGAUAUCAGAUUAGGUAGUUGGUGAGGUAAAGGCUCACCAAGCCGACGAUCUGUAGCUGGUCUGAGAGGACGACCAGCCACACUGGGACUGAGACACGGCCCAGACUCCUACGGGAGGCAGCAGUGGGGAAUUUUGGACAAUGGGCGCAAGCCUGAUCCAGCAAUGCCGCGUGCAGGAUGAAGGCCUUCGGGUUGUAAACUGCUUUUGUACGGAGCGAAAAGGCUUCCACUAAUACUGGGGGCUCAUGACGGUACCGUAAGAAUAAGCACCGGCUAACUACGUGCCAGCCGCCGCCGUAA
rnacentral:rRNA from 1 species